GGGAUAUUGCACAAUGGGCGCAAGCCUGAUGCAGCGACGCCGCGUGGGUGAUGACGGUCUUCGGAUUGUAAAACCCUUUUCUGGUUGACGAGCAAGGACGGUAGAUCAGGAAGACGUGUCGGCUAACUACGUGCCAGCCGCCGCGGUAAAACGUAGGCCACGAGCGUUAUCCGGAGUUACUGGGCGUAAAGGGCGUGCAGGCGGCAGCGUAAGUCUGAUGUGAAAGCUCCCGGCUCAACCGGGAGAGGACAUUGGAGACUGCGCAGCUAGAGGCAGAUAGGGGGCUGUAGAAUUCCGGGUGUAGUGGUGAAAUGCGUAGAGAUCCGGAGGAAUACCAGAGGCGAAGGCGGCAGCCUGGGUCUGACCUGACGCUGAGACGCGACAGCAUGGGGAGCGA
rnacentral:rRNA from 1 species